AAGUCGUAACAAGGUUUCCGUAGGUGAACCUGCGGAAGGAUCAUUAUCGAGUUUUGAAAGGGGCUGUAGCUGGCCUUCCGAGGCAUGUGCACGCCCUGCUCAAUCCACUCUACACCUGUGCACUUACUGUGGGUUCUGGGAAAGUCUUUGCGGGCUUUCUCGGGCCUGCGUUUAUCUACAAAUCCCUUUUGUAUCAGAAUGUAACGCAUUGUAAUGCAUCUAUAUACAACUUUCAGCAACGGAUCUCUUGGCUCUC
rnacentral:misc_RNA from 1 species